UCUUGUGAGCUUUGUUGUUUCCUCGUGUUACUCAUAGUGCUUUUGAGAUAUCUUGUGUUUUAGAUUGUCACCUGUAUAUUAAUGCUGACUGUUUUCCCUUUGUUUUUGAGUCAUGUAUUUUGGUCCAUUUCCCCUGCUGUUACUGUGAGCAGUGAACACAUGCAAGUGGACAGGUGACUCUCUCUGUAAAACUCCCCAAGACCUGUAACCGGACUCUAAUGUGAAGACUUGGUGCAGUUCCCCUUUAACAAACAUGCAGUGGAGCUCCUUCAUGUCAGCUUUAAAAACACCAGGCUCUUGUGUAACCACCUCACGGGCCCUGGCAGCACAUCACCACCACCAUCAUCCACCUUCACUGGCUCCCAAUAAAGCCACACAUCGACUACAAACUCUUCCUCCUGACCUACAAAUCCCUCCACACCCUCGCCCCUCCAUACCUCACUGACCUCCACCCCUACACACCGUCCUGGAACCUGCCGUCCUCUGAUGCUGGUCUUCUCUACACCCCCAGCACCAAACUGAAAACUUUUCAGAUUCAACAACUACAACAACACAGAGCUGACUGUAAACAAACAAGAGGCAAUAAAUUGUCACAAAUUUUUGUAAAAACCCAACAGAGAUGCACAUUCCAAAAGGGUUGUAUACAUAUCCAAAGAAUGCUCCUAAAAAGAAUAACGUUUGGCAUGUCCUACAUGUCUUAAUCUCUAAAUGCUAUAUAUGAAAUAAGGCCUAAUUCAUAUUAUCCACUUAAAUAUGCUCCUUACAAGACGGCUAUCAGAUUGGGAAAAUUGUCUUAUGUGGAAUAAAAGUGGAAUAUGCUGUGAAUGUAGAUGUAGUCCUGAGUGGCAUACUGACGUGCCAUUACUGGUUGAGUCAAUAUGUGUGAAUGGCCCUGUAAAACUCUUUGCUGCUUCGGUUUUGCUCAGUAUCCCUUUAAGUUUUAAGGUUUGAAGAAUUAUGUUUGAUCUUUCAAUCAGCUAUUUCAUAAUAAAAAGUCUUUCAGACAUUGUAUCCCAUUGUGUUUGUGAGUUCACAUGAAGUAA